rnacentral:rRNA from 1 species
UACAGAGGUCCCAAGCGUUGUUCGGAAUCACUGGGCGUAAAGGGUGCGUAGGCGGUCUUUCAAGCCAGAAGUGAAAGGCUACGGCUCAACCGUAGUAAGCUUUUGGAACUGUAAGACUUGAGUGCAGGAGAGGAGAGUGGAAUUCCUAGUGUAGCGGUGAAAUGCGUAGAUAUUAGGAGGAACACCAGUAGCGAAGGCGGCUCUCUGGACUGUAACUGACGCUGAGGCACGAAAGCGUGGGGAGCAAACAGGAUUAGAUACCCGGGUAGUCCCU